AUGAUGUGUCUGGUAGUUCAAAUAGAAAUUCCAGUAGUCCAGAAACAUCUUCCUGUUGGCUACCACAAUCUUCAUCCAAAGAAGCCACAUCUUCUUCAAGUCCAACUCCAUCAAGACCUAAACCCCCAGCAUCUUCUUCUUACCAACGUCAAUCACUAACAUGGGAUAUAACUUCUUCUAAACCAUCUCUGCUCUCUCCUGCACCCCCAAUUUCAUCAAAAUCAUCCCCCCGGGCACCUAAACUCCCACUAUCUUCGAACCAAGCCCAACCAUUAAUACCAGAAAUACCUUCUUCUAAACCAUCCCCAGUCUCUCUUACAGCUCCAACUUCUUCAUUAAAACCAUCCCCUCAAGCACCUUCAACUUCUUCUAAGCCAUCUCCAUUAUUCUCUGUAACUACAGCAUCUUCUUCCAAAACUAAUCCUAAAGCACCUCCUUCUUCCUUGGGCCCUUCUGCAUCAUCAUCCAAGCCACCUCCGACUUUUAAGCCAACUCUAACUCCAGCUUCUGCAUAUGUCAUCAAAAGCAGUCAAAAGCCACCUAUUCCUGAAUUCCAAAAAUCCUAUUCUGAACCAUCUCCAUCACCCUCUGAGCCUCUUCCAUCUUUUAAGCCAACACUGGCUCC
rnacentral:misc_RNA from 1 species